UAAUCCUACGGGAGGCAGCAGUGAGGAAUAUUGGUCAAUGGCCGAAGGGCUGAACCAGCCAAGCCGCGUGAAGGAAUAAGGCCCUACGGGUCGUAAACUUCUUUAGUCAGGGAACAAAGGGUGCCACGCGCGGCGCUGUGAGUGUACCUGAAGAAUAAGCAUCGGCUAACUCCGUGCCAGCAGCCGCGGUAAUACGGAGGAUGCGAGCGUUAUCCGGAUUUAUUGGGUUUAAAGGGUGCGUAGGCGGACUGUCAAGUCAGCGGUAAAAUACGGGGGCUCAACCUCCGCCCGCCGUUGAAACUGAC
rnacentral:rRNA from 1 species